CGCAUCUGUGCAUGCAGCAUAUCAAUAAGCGGAGGAAAAGAAACUAACAAGGAUUCCCCUAGUAACGGCGAGUGAAGCGGGAAGAGCUCAAAUUUGAAAUCUUAAAGGGUUUCCCUUUACGAAUUGUAGUUUAAAGAAGUGUUUUCUGUUGAGGUUUUGGUAAAAGUUCUUUGGAAUAGGACAUCAUAGAGGGUGAGAAUCCCGUAUUUGACCUUUACUUUCAACUUUGUGAUACACUUUCAAAGAGUCGGAUUGUUUGGGAAUGCAGUCCAAAAUGGGUGGUAAAUUUCAUCUAAAGCUAAAUAUUGGCGAGAGACCGAUAGCGAACAAGUACCGUGAGGGAAAGAUGAAAAGAACUUUGAAAAGAGAGUUAAACAGUACGUGAAAUUGUCAAAAGGGAAGCGUUUGACACCAGUGUUGUUCUUCUGAAAAUCAAUUAAAGAACUGUUUAUGCUAAGUUGUUUAGACUUUAUCAGCUAAUCUGCUUAGUUUUGAGCUUUUCUUUAAUGCACUUUUCAGUUAACAAGUCAACAUCAAUUUCUUUUGCUGUAAAAAAGCUUGAGGAAGGUGGCUUGAGAUUCGUCUUAAGUGUUUAUAGCCUCUUGCCUAUGCAGUCGGAGAGAUUGAGGUCUGCAGCGUAGAUCCUUCGGGGCUAAAUGCAUUUGUGCUAAGUUUAUAGCAUUUUAUAGACAACUUGUUGACUAUGAUUUGUCUUGUAGCUUACUCGCUUAUGUUAUUUUACCUACGCUUAGGAUGUUGAGCGCAUGUCUCUCUCU
rnacentral:rRNA from 1 species